UACGUAGGGGGCGAGCGUUGUCCGGAUUUAUUGGGCGUAAAGAGCGUGUAGGCGGCUUGGUAGGUCCGCUGUGAAAACUCGAGGCUCAACCUCGAGACGCCGGUGGAAACCGUAAAGCUAGAGUCCGGAAGAGGAGAGUGGAAUUCCUGGUGUAGCGGUGAAAUGCGCAGAUAUCAGGAGGAACACCGGUGGCGAAGGCGGGUCUCUGGGCCGAUACUGACGCUGAGGUGCGAAAGCGUGGGGAGCGAACAGG
rnacentral:rRNA from 1 species